GACGAACGCUGGCGGCGUGCUUAACACAUGCAAGUCGAACGGAAAGGCCCUGCUUUUGUGGGGUGCUCGAGUGGCGAACGGGUGAGUAACACGUGAGUAACCUGCCCUUGACUUUGGGAUAACCUCAGGAAACUGGGGCUAAUACCGGAUAGGAGCUCCUGCUGCAUGGUGGGGGUUGGAAAGUUUCGGCGGUUGGGGAUGGACUCGCGGCUUAUCAGCUUGUUGGUGGGGUAGUGGCUUACCAAGGCUUUGACGGGUAGCCGGCCUGAGAGGGUGACCGGCCACAUUGGGACUGAGAUACGGCCCAGACUCCUACGGGAGGCAGCAGUGGGGAAUAUUGCACAAUGGGCGGAAGCCUGAUGCAGCAACGCCGCGUGCGGGAUGACGGCCUUCGGGUUGUAAACCGCUUUCGCCUGUGACGAAGCGUGAGUGACGGUAAUGGGUAAAGAAGCACCGGCUAACUACGUGCCAGCAGCCGCGGUGAUACGUAGGGUGCGAGCGUUGUCCGGAUUUAUUGGGCGUAAAGGGCUCGUAGGUGGUUGAUCGCGUCGGAAGUGUAAUCUUGGGGCUUAACCCUGAGCGUGCUUUCGAUACGGGUUGACUUGAGGAAGGUAGGGGAGAAUGGAAUUCCUGGUGGAGCGGUGGAAUGCGCAGAUAUCAGGAGGAACACCAGUGGCGAAGGCGGUUCUCUGGGCCUUUCCUGACGCUGAGGAGCGAAAGCGUGGGGAGCGAACAGGCUUAGAUACCCUGGUAGUCCACGCUGUAAACGGUGGGUACUAGGUGUGGGGUCCAUUCCACGGGUUCCGUGCCGUAGCUAACGCUUUAAGUACCCCGCCUGGGGAGUACGGCCGCAAGGCUAAAACUCAAAGGAAUUGACGGGGCCCCGCACAAGCGGCGGAGCAUGCGGAUUAAUUCGAUGCAACGCGUAGAACCUUACCUGGGUUUGACAUGGAUCGGGAGUGCUCAGAGAUGGGUGUGCCUCUUUUGGGGUCGGUUCACAGGUGGUGCAUGGCUGUCGUCAGCUCGUGUCGUGAGAUGUUGGGUUAAGUCCCGCAACGAGCGCAACCCUUGUUCACUGUUGCCAGCACGUUAUGGUGGGGACUCAGUGGAGACCGCCGGGGUCAACUCGGAGGAAGGUGGGGAUGACGUCAAGUCAUCAUGCCCCUUAUGUCCAGGGCUUCACGCAUGCUACAAUGGCUGGUACAGAGAGUGGCGAGCCUGUGAGGGUGAGCGAAUCUCGGAAAGCCGGUCUCAGUUCGGAUUGGGGUCUGCAACUCGACCUCAUGAAGUCGGAGUCGCUAGUAGUCGCAGAUCAGCAACGCUGCGGUGAAUACGUUCCCGGG
rnacentral:rRNA from 1 species